CUGUAAACGCAUAUUUGUGGCUAAGUCUAAUUGUUCGAGUACGUAUAUGUUCAAGUACGAGUAUGUGUGAGCAUAAAGUAAACGACACAAAGAGUUUGUUAACGGGGUUCGGUUUUUCCUACAUCCCCGGGACCUAGUCCAGAACAAAUUCACUAGAACAAGAUUGCAAUUACAAUUGCGUAUGAUAUCAAGCACUACUAUGCCUAUCAUUCUUUUCUAGAUGAAUAAACCACCAAUAGAUCUUACAUCAUAUAUGGUGGGGCGACGCCACACACCUUGUGUGCAUCUCUCGAGAAUACCCUGAGGCGCGCAAGUCUUCAUGAAGCGCCCUCUUGGUAUUUAUAACAAUUGCUCAACCCUAGAGUUGACAAUUUUCCUAUUCUACACUAAUAGGAAUUUCCUAUUCUACACCAAAAUAGGAAUUGACAAAUUUCCUUUUUCUUUAUGGACAAGGAAACUUUGUCUUCACGUUCUCAUCUUGAAUAUACUAUUCAAGAUGUUUAUCCAGCUCAGCAGACAUCUCUUGGCUUGUCCAAGUCGUCCCCAAACUUCUGUACUCCAACUCUUCAAAGCAGUGUCACAACUCAGCUUCCUGUAUUAAUGUCGGAACUAGUUCAAGAACUAUGUCAGACAUCAGAUACAUCCUUUGAUAUAUCAGACUGCUGGUUUCUUGAUUCAACACCAUAUAUUCUCUGGUUUGUGUCAAUCACAGUCACUUCCUCAAUUCAUCAAUCUCAUGACAUUUUAGAUGGAUUAUAAAACUCAGUCAACACAACAUCUUCAAUCUCUCCCUUGAUGAUUGAGUUUUAUAAUCCAAGCACCUUCUAGAAACUAGUCAACACAAUAAUAACAAUCUCCCUCUUGAUGAGGGCGUUUUAGAACCCAAGCACACACUCAAUGCUUCAUGUUUCGUCAUCUAUUCGACUCAAAAGAUCUCACAUCUUCAUUCUCCCCCUUUUUAACUUAGUUUGAUACUCAAGCACUCUAUUCUUUAAGUCAAGCUUCAAUCAAAUCAAAAACAAUCUUCAACUCAUUUCCUCAUAACCAGAGUAACUCUCUUUAUCUCCCCCUGCUUGAGUGCAUAACUAAGUUAAAAACUCUGUGAAGAUCCUUCAAUGCGUACAUAGAGCUUCACAUCGUUAAACUCAUGGUUAAUACUUCUUGAAAAAUCCUCUAACCAAAACCAAGAUAUGCUUGAGACUCUUCUUCAUUGCUCAUCAUUUAUCAACCUUGAGAGUCUAUUUUUCAUCAAACUAUUUAUGAGACCUGUCUUGUUCUUGCUUCAGCUGUUCUCAAAUACAGAACGUCUAAACUUGACAUAAGUGUACCAGCUCAUUUUGACGUCCAUCUUAGUUGAAAUUUGACCUGCAAAAACUUUUCUCUGAAAACUGUAACUCAACUUGAGUAACUUGCACGAGUUUUUCUUGAGAAUCUGCCUACUAGUCUCCUUCUUUUUGAACAAACUGCUUCCUAAAUUACUUGCAGAAAACUUGAAUCAUACAUGCUUCUUAUCAUUGAGAAUUCCCAGUUUCUGAACCAUCUAUUUUGAACAACUCAACCUUUGAUUUAUCUUUGCACUUCUGAUACUUUGACAGUCUUAGACCAUUCUGCUAGCUUUCCUUGUAGCUUAUCUCACACCAACUGAUCCAAUGACAUUCUUGAGAACCUUUUUAACACAAUGAUUUAAUCAACCUUGAGAUCUUUGCAACCCGUAGCUUUUAAGUCUCCAAAUUAACUGCUCGGAAAAGCCUUCAUUUAACUAUGUUCUUGGCCUCCAAAUCUAGUACCCUUUUACCAGAAUCUAGUUUCAAAUAUCUCUGCCAAAUUUCAUCCCAUUCUGAAUUUAUUUGGUCGUCCGUUUGAUAACUCCACAAGAACUGGCCAAAUCUGAAACUUCAAAUGAACUAUGCCCGGAUCAGGUUGAAGAAGCUUGAAUAAAACACAAACCAACCGUCAAAAUCUCAAUCCCACCGUUGAAACUCAAGACAGCAAUACCACGAACCUUUCCACCAAGUUUCGGCUCGAUCAGAUUACAUUUAACUCACCAAACGUUUCCUUGAAUCAGACAUUUCAGAACUGUUUUCUCCUUUCUUCUCUAAUCCGAAAAUCAUUUAUUUUGACAUUGAUGGUGCAGUUCAUAUCUCCUCUUCCCUUUCUUCUCCCCCAUGACUGCAGCUCUCUCUUCUUCGGUGAUCUUUGUUAAUCCCUUUAAUCACACAACCUUCUUUAUGUGACUAUCAAGAUCAUUUGUUCCUUAAAAGUGUGAUCUCCAAGCUAGCCUUCAAGAUUCUACUCCACAGCUUCUUGUCUUGAGGCAACUAAAACUCUGCCUGUGAGACAAUCUCUAAGAGAUCAGUAAUCUUCAUAACCUUAAUCUUGUUAUUUGCAGCAGAAUCUCAGAUUUAAAGUUUCUCAGAACUCAGAAAACGCCUUCGCUAGAAUCACCGGAGUAACAUAAAUCAAAGCACCACAUAGCGUAUGAAACAUGCUCAUCUUGAUGUAUUGCUAUGACAAAACUCCAUUACUCAGUAGAUCUCUGCUUUCAACGCCACAACUUAGAAUCAGCCACAAAGGAUUGAUUCCCAAAAUCGAAGAACUCUUGAAUUGAACCUUUUUCAUCAGUUUUGAUGCAGAGCACUAGCGAGGUAGCAGAACAACCCAGAAAAUUAUAAAUUUGGGUGAAAAAUUCCACAAUAGUCAGACGAAGCCACAGGAGAAAACGGAUCACAAUUUGGGUUUACGAUUUGAAGGAUAUGGUCAAUUUCUCAAGACAGAUCCGAAACAAUACAAACCUGCGAGCAGCCAAUUUUGAGAGCAAUUUCCCAUCAAACCACAAGAAACCAGAAGAUGAUAUUUAUAUCCUUUAGAAAAUCUCAUUCUCAAGUUUUCAGAACAUCUUUCAGAGCUAAAAUCCGAGGUCUGAAGCCAAAGAAACGAAGAUGAAAGAAUCAACCCUGAGAACCAAAACUGUCUUUGAAAUCUGAAACAUUCUUCUUUAUCACUCUUUCUUUGAGUUACUUCUCGAUUCAAAGUGGCAUCAAACUUCUUCUUCAUCAUUAUGGAGCUUAUUCUUCUUCCCCAUCAUUACUCUUCUCGAUCCAAUGCCUUUCUCUUUAUGAUGCAGUUUAAAUCCUCUCCACCUUCACUCUUCCCCUGACUGAAAGACCUUAACUCAUAUCUUCCUCAACUUGAAACAGUCUGAUACCUUAGAGAACUCCACCAUCAACAUGUUCCAAGAAACCAUAAAACUGUCCUCAGUAGAGCCUUGGAGCAAUAUAAGUCCGAGUAUACCACAACGAAUGGAAAAAUGCCCAUCUUAACAAAAUCUUCAUGAACAUAUGCUGUCACGUUAGCAAGUUAUCAAUGAUUUCCCAAGACAGAUCCAAAAUGUUAUAAACCUGUGGGCAUGCAACUUUGGGAGCAAUUUCCCAUCAAACUACAAGGAACCAGACGACGAUCUUUAUAUCAUUGGAAAGAUCUUGCUCCCAAGUUUCUAGAACACUUUUCGUAGCUCAAAUCCGAGGUCUGUAGCCAUAGCAACUGAAGAAGAAAGUAGCAACCUGAGAAAGAAAAACUGUUCUUGAAACCCAAAAUCUUCUUCUUCUCAUCAUUCUUUGAUUUCUUCACAGAUACCAGCGACAUCUUUAAGAACCAUAUUCCAUAGGCUCAUCUUUGAUUCAUCUUUCUUUCUCAUGUCAAGAACCAUUUGUCAAAUUCUUUUCAAUGCUUGCAGCGGAAGCAAAACAAAAUCUUCAAGAAGUAGACAUCAAAGCUAAACUCCACUUUUCGACUUUAAAAGAUGUCGACUUCAUUUCUGUGUCUUGAGGUCACAGUGGGAACACACAAACAUUUCCACGCCUAGACUUUGAAGAGCAACUAUUGGGAAUCAUCGCUGGCAUCUUUAUCUUGUUGGUUUAUACCAUCAACGACGAUCACGACCAGCCACCACUUCCAUAAACCUGAAAAACCAGUUGGUUGAAUCUUCAUCUAGCUCUGUUUGAUUUCGAUUUCUGAACUCGUCAACUUUCUCUACCAUAAGAUGAUCAAGAACAGCUAGCCACUGAGUCUUCUUCCCUCUGACUUGUGCUGACUUGUCACACUUGAAUAAAACUUGAAUAAAGCACACUAAUUCAGUUCCAGCCUUCUUCUCCUUUCUUCUAUCAAUGUUCAGACGCCUUCUCGUUUAAGCACUGACAUGAUCAGUUUUGUGUCUCAUCCUUUUUCACUAAGUAUCAUAAGCAAAAGCUCAACCAAGAUUUAAAUUCUACCCAAUCAAUUCAUGAGCUUUCUUAGACUCUUCAAAUUCUCUCCCUCCUUUUAUUUAUAAAACUUAGUGAAGAACUCAUCUACUGAUAUGUGCUUAAACGUAUGCUACCAUAAUCUUGGUGAAAUGGUCUUCCUCUUCAACCAAACAAGAACUUAAGAAAACUGGUUCACGUAUCAUACUCUAAGCCUUCCAUAUGAAUUACUUUUGAUCUUUCCUCAAAUCGCCAAAUCAAAAACAAGCUUCAAGAGUUGUCAACAAAACGCAACCAUUCUUCCCCGUUGAGGAAACUGUAAAUUCUAAAUUUCCAAUUCUUUACACUAGAAACUUAUGACCUUUUCAAUUCUCUCCUCUAUCCGGAACCUCUCGCACUUUCUCUCGGUGGAGACGACUCUCAAAUUCUUUCUCUGAUUUUCUCAAUCAGUUGACAAGAUUUCCACUUUUGAAAACCCAAAUUUUUUCCCUUCAGUGAAUCUCAAUCUCAACGGAGAAGAAGAUACUCAAACUCUCCCUCUGAAUCUUAUAGAAGCUUCCGUACACUUUACCAAAAAUUUCAACCCUUGAAAAUGAGGAACCAAAACUGUAGAUUGGCUUAAAGGGAAUUAGCUCAUCUUCUGAUCUCAAGGUUCUAACCAAAUCUCAGAGGAAGCCCAUGAGACAGCUUUGACACGAGACAACCGAAGCUCGUUUAUUCACCAUCUCCAGUUACUUUGACAAAGCUUUAAAGAGCAAUGUCUUCAGUGAAAAACUCACACAUACAAGUGUCUUCUUUCUCCGAUAACUGCAUAAUCACGGCCAUUUCUUUAAGACUGCAAAUUUUACCUGUGAACUCGACGACUGCGAAUCUUUCACCAAAGCCACAUUCACUUCUUUCAUCUGAGAUAGAUGCUGACAUUGUAGUUCCUUUUCAGUAUCAAAUUGAAACCAGAGAAUACCACUAAGGCUCAAAAUGAUUUCAGAAUCACACGUCUCUUCCACGGGUAAGCUACACCAUCACAAAUUCUCUUCACGUUUAUUCUAGACAUGUGACUAUUUUAGCCCUCAAUUUCACGAAAUUGACCUCUCUUUGCUUCAACUAAUAACUCCAGACAUGACAUCAAUCCUCAAUUUUAACAGCUCAAAAAAUCUCUUAAUCUUCUGCAGAAUUUGUGACUCUCUUUAUCUAAGUAUCAUAUUGAAGAACAGUCGCAAACUAACCGAUUUAUGAAACCCAAAAACUGAACAUAUAUCUUCAUCUCGCUGAUUCCAGAUUGAGAGAUUAAACUCCACCUUUCACCAAUUCAAUUCAAAACCCCCAACACGAUUUUUCGAUUUGUAUGAUCAAACCCGAAGUUAACCCAUCUUCUUUCAAGAACCGAAAAUAACCAAAGAUGAACGAGAUACACAUGACCUUUGAUUUUGUUUCUCUUCGUGAAGUUUGCAGAACCAUUGAAUUGAGGAAAGAUUAUAUUAUCUUCUUCUGAUUUUAACCGGCUAAAAUCACCUUAUAUCUUCUUCAUCGAGAAACAUCUUCUUUUAACUCUCCAAGUUUCUUUCUUAAAACAAAACUCAUGAUUCUAUUCAGCCCAUCGAUUUUUCAGAUUUUGGAAUUCUUUUUCAAUCUUCUGAAUGCUGAGAAAGACAAAAACAUGUUUAGACGAACUGCUCCUUGAGUGAACAACCCACAUUCAACACAGUUCCUCGUUAACUCCUCUACGAAGCAAUACAAGAGCACUCCAGAAUCACACACUUCGAUUUUGUUCACACUGGAGAGGACACCAGAAGAUAGACCCAAAACCCAACAUGUGUGUCUAUUAAACUAAUCUGAGUCAACCUUUGCUAGCAAUUUUUCUCCAUCGUGGAACACUGCUUCAAAAAACGUCUUCCUUCGCGAGGCCUAGAAAAGAAUCAUUAUUGGGCCAAAAGUUCCAAAAGCAAGCCCAUGUUAGGAAAAAGUCUUCUUCUCAACCGUUCCCGACGAUAAUAGAAACAAGUUGUGUUCUUCCUUCAUACAACUCGAUGGAUAGCACAAACCUUUCUUAAGAGUUUAAGAUAUAUUCCACCUCUGUCAAAAUUCGAAGAUAUUCAUCAUACCGUAACUAUCCUUUUCGCUUGGUUUCUUCAAAAUCACACAACUCCGAAUAUACCCUUGAUCUUUUUCUCUAUAUCUUCGUGAAUACACUUCCUUCUCAUCUGCUUCCAGUUCGCAGUUAGCCACAAAUCCAGGAUCAUACCCGAAAUAAGAACAGAUUUUUGUCGAGCACCCGCUCUGAUACCAAUUGUAAACGCAUAUUUGUGGCUAAGUCUAAUUGUUCGAGUACGUAUAUGUUCAAGUACGAGUAUGUGUGAGCAUAAAGUAAACGACACAAAGAGUUUGUUAACGGGGUUCGGUUUUUCCUACAUCCCCGGGACCUAGUCCAGAACAAAUUCACUAGAACAAGAUUGCAAUUACAAUUGCGUAUGAUAUCAAGCACUACUAUGCCUAUCAUUCUUUUCUAGAUGAAUAAACCACCAAUAGAUCUUACAUCAUAUAUGGUGGGGCGACGCCACACACCUUGUGUGCAUCUCUCGAGAAUACCCUGAGGCGCGCAAGUCUUCAUGAAGCGCCCUCUUGGUAUUUAUAACAAUUGCUCAACCCUAGAGUUGACAAUUUUCCUAUUCUACACUAAUAGGAAUUUCCUAUUCU
rnacentral:lncRNA from 1 species